rnacentral:tRNA from 1 species
AGGAUUGUAGUUUAAAAAACAUUUAAUUUGCAUUUAAAAAAUACUAAUUUUUAGUUUGUCUUA